GUAUGCAAGUCCUAAACCUAAAAUCGCUGAUGCACGAAGCUUUACGGAGCCAGUUUCAAGGUAUUCAGAAAGAAUUGCCAUAGCUGGAUCAGCUUCAUUUCUUACUGCAACAUUUGUAACACCAAUUCCCAACAAUGCACCAGCCUUGGUAUUCUCCUCAGAAGAGUAUAAAUACUUAUCCAACAAAGACAAUCCCAUGUCAACAUUCCAUAAUUGUAAUAGGCCAAUAGAAGCUGUAGCACUUAUUAAACCAGAUUCUUUAUUUUUAUAAAUCCAAGACGUUUUUUCGUCAUCGACCAAAAUUAAUCUGUCGUUACUGUAUCCGGCAUUGACAAGGGCAUUGACAAAAGUGUUAGCUAAAUUUUGUUUGGCGGAAUACACUCCUGAUGCACCCAAUCCAGUCCUAGCCACUUCUAAAUG